AUGCAAGAGUCGAAACUGAAGGAAAUAACACUGAGGAUUGCGGACUAUGAGGACGAAGCCCUGCCAGAGCUGCUGCACUUUAUUUACAGUGGAAUGUUUAAGACAAGCGAUCCUGUUCUGCUUCUGAAAGUGAUGCGCGUUGCUGAUAAAUUUGAAGUUGUCCACUGCAUGAGCUAUUGCAGCCAGCUGUUGAUUAGUCUGCCGAUGACAAAGGAGUUAGCUCUCUUGUACCUUGAUUACAAUCACUCGGUCUCGAUAUCAAACGCUCUUCAGCCUGUGAAGAUAGCAGCUCAGGAAUUUUUGGCUGACAAGUCUGAAGCUGAGGUUUUGGAUAUGCCUCUCUCAGGGAUCAGAGCUAUAUUCUCGAGCAAUAAUUUGGAGGUGUUGGAGGAGGACUUCGUCUGGGAUUUCCUGCUGAAAUGGGCUCAUGCAAAGUAUCCAGAAUCUGCAGAAAGGCAUAGGAUCUUGAUCAAAUCUUUAGUGCCAUUAAUACGUUUGAACCAGAUGAGUUGUGGGAAACUUCUGUCACUUUUGUCUUGCUAG
rnacentral:rRNA from 1 species